rnacentral:rRNA from 1 species
GUAGGUGGCAAGCGUUGUCCGGAAUUAUUGGGCGUAAAGCGCGCGCAGGUGGGAUAUUAAGUCUGGUGUUAAAGUUCGGGGCUCAACCCCGUGAAGCAUUUGGAAACUGAUAUUCUUGAGUGCAGGAGAGGAAAGUGGAAUUCCUAGUGUAGCGGUGAAAUGCGUAGAUAUUAGGAGGAACACCAGUGGCGAAGGCGACUUUCUGGACUGUGUCUGACACUGAGGCGCGAAAGCUAGGGUAGUGAACAGGAUUAGAUACCCUGGUAAUCCUAGCUGUAAACGAUGGGUACUAGGUGUUGGGGGUAUCGACCCCUCCAGUGCCGGAGUUAACGCAAUAAGUACCCCGCCUGGGGAGUACGGCCGCAGGGUUG